CCAUAUCCCAAAAUUUUUAGAUUUCCCACCCAUUGUGAAAUUCACGCCCAAUAAGGUGUAUGCUGAGUAGGGGCGGUGGAACUGGUUCCAGAACGUGGAAGGCAUCUUCAUAAAAAAAUCGAAGGAAUCGUUGUAAUUUUCACAUGAAGUUCGCUUUGAGAGUCGCAAUUAAAUGAUUGCGUCAAUCUUUACUCUUCUCGUGGGUGGAACAUUAUUACUGUUUCCAAUUUUCUCAAUCUGUAAGUUCAUCUCUACUCAAUUACCAUUUUACUUGUAAUACAUAAAGGGGUUUUGAUAAUUAACCCAUGAAAAAGCUUCGUAGGUAUGACAAAGAUGAUUUGAUGGUGUAGACUGAUUUGAAUGAUAAUAUAUGUUAAUAAUGUUCAUUGUUCAAAGUUAUAAAGCGUGAUUCUGGAUAUAUUCCUAAGGACCUUACAAUGGAUCUUUUUUUUUUUUUUAAUUUGGUUAAUUUGAAUUUGUGUUUACAUGUUGUUCAAGUCCUAUAGUUAGGGUUUCCCAACAUGGCUUUCUUUUGCUUCCGAAUUCUGAACCAAACGAGCCAAUGAAAUUCUAUCAUUUGUUCACAAUGAAUGCGAUCAAUCAUAAUGAAAUCUUGUAAUGGUGUUCUUCAUCCACCAUCUCCGCUUCGGUUCCAAACAAGGUUGGGGGGGGGGGGGUAGACAACUAACCAACUUCUAGUUUGCGAAUUAUUUUCUAAAAAGGAUUGACCUGAUUCUCAAUUUGCUUGUAUUUUUUCCCUUUUAUUAUGUAUGUCAGAAAUUAAUUUGAUUUGCUUUGCUUUGCUUUGCUUUGCUUUGAGUUGAAUGAAAUCGAAAUUAUGAUGCCUUUUAAUAUUAUGCACAUUGAUGAAACAAAUUGAACCAAAUAAUAUGCAUACUGAUGUAUUGAUGGAUAGUAAAUUGUUUGUUCUGUUUUUAUGCAAUUACGAACUUGUGGAUUCGACGGAAGAAUGUGCAUCUGUUUUUUUUCUUUCAACCUCUACUUUAAUUUUGUUUGGUGAUCCCAUUAGUGUGUUUAUGUACAAUGAUCAAACUAGUUUGCUCAUGUUAUUUUUGCAAACAUUACUUGUUUAAUUUGAUAUCAUAUCAUAUCGAUUUACAGUCUAAAAUAUUAGCUUUUUGUUUUUGGCAUUGCACUUUGAAAAUGAUGAUCUGAUCGAAUGUGUUACUAAGAAGCAGAUGAAGGUUUUUAGGUUUCUUCGAUCUAAUUCAUAGCAUUACGUGUUUCUGUUCGUUUUUAAUGUGAUUACUGAUUGAUUUCGUGUUAGUUUGAGUUUUAAAUGAAGUUUUGUUACUACAAGUUCGUUCAAAUCCUUUGCUUUCAAAAUUUUCAUUUAUCAAUGGUAGUAUGUGUUUCCAUGGAUUUUUAAUAUGCUUACUAGUUGAUUUUUUGCUUGUUUGUGUUUUAGAUGCUGUUUUUAGGUUUAUUACUGUAAGUUCUUCCAGAUCUUUCCAUUUCGUGUGUUUAUUAUUAUUUUUUUUUCUGUAUAUAUUUUUAUUUCAUUCCAAUCAUCACGUUUUACUAUUACGCUACUUUUUAAUCGAUAAUAUUAGUAUUAUGCGUUUCUGUCUGUUUAUAAUUUGAUUACUGGUUAAUUUUGUGCGUAAAAGAGUUUUAGAUGCAGUUUUUUAGGUUUAAUUACUGUAAGUUCAUCCAGAUUCUUCAAUUUCAUCAUUUUUUUUAGAUUUGAUGUUAUUGUGGUACUUGUUUUUUUAUUUCUGUUUGUUUUUAAUGUAAUUACUGGUUACUUUUGUGUCCGUUUGAGUUUUGGAUUAAGUUUUAUUAGGUUUUAUUGUGUUUUUUUUUCCGGCUAGAUCUGUUUCACCGAUUUACUCUUUGGAGUCAUGUGUAAUUGUUAAUUGCUUCCAUUGAAUUUAAGGAAUAUUUUGUUGUGACAGAAGCUUACAUGCAUGAGAGAUUAUUUGCAAAGUUCACAUGGAUGAUAUGUUUGAUAUGUUAGUUUUCAUGAUUUUUUGGUGUAGUUGGAGAGUGUGUUUGAAAUGGCUUUGUGAUCUAUUGUGGGGACAGAUUCUUUGUAAAGCUGGUCGAAGAAUGUUGGCAGAUCCUCCUGCCUUCCGGUGUUGACCAGUUUUAAUUUAUAAAACGUGAGUUUUUAAAAGGAAAACUUAUAUAGAAUUCUGCAAAUUAUCAUUUGUAGAGUAGAAAUAAAAACUAAAAGUUAUGACCCGUGAAGCAUGCUGGUUCCGUUUCAUUUUAAUCGCUAAAAAGAAAAGAAAAGGUUGCUCAAGUGUGCUUGAAUUAGUGUUCCUGAACUUUACAAUAUCACGUUAUUACUUUCAAAAAGACAUAGGUAGGCUAGAGGCGUUGACAUACUUUAUCCCAAAAUGUAAAACCAUAUCAACUUUUUUAAUCUGAGAAGUCAAAACCAAAUAUUACAGAUGGAACAUGUUAAUUUUUACCUUCUGGACUUGCACUAACUACUUUGUUAAAAGAUAUGUAUUUGUUAAACUUGUGAUAAGACCAUAUGGUUUAUUUUCUACAAUUCAAGAUUGUAUUGGUGCAUCUAUCGCAUGGCCCUAUCCAUUCAUCUCGGUAGUCCAUGAGAAUUGAGGACGCAUGAUAACUCAAGAUUUUAUGCUUCUUAUUUCUUUAAAUGCUUUUAAUUUCUUUGUUAAAUGUUCAGACUUUGUAUUAGAUAAUGUUAUAACUUAUUUAUGCUUAGUGUUUUUGUUA